rnacentral:lncRNA from 1 species
AGCCGAGAUCAUGCCACUGCACUCCAGUCUGGGGGAGAGUGAAACUCUAAGCCUCAAAAAAACCAAAAAACAAAAACAAAAUGCACCUCCAAGCUGCAGAGCCAACCUGGCUUCAUGGCCAAGGAAGCACAGCGGUGACACGUUUCCCUGGUGACCCUCAUGUCAAAUGGAUGUCUUUUAAUCCUUUCCUCAACAAGCCACUGGGAUUACAGGCAUGUGGCACCACGCCCGGCUAAUUUUGUGUAUUUUUAGUAGAAACGGGGUUUCUCCAUGUUGGUCAGGCUGGUCUCAAAUUCCCGAACUCAGGUGAUCUGCCCUCCUUGGCCUCUCAAAGUGCUGGGAUUACAGGUGUGAGCCACUGUGCCCAGCCUGUUUUGUUUUCUUUCUAAUGGUCUCACGUCCUUACCCUCUCUAGAUAUCUAAGUCUCUCCAGUUCAAAAACAAUAAACAAAUUAAACAAGCCUCUGUUGAUUCUGAAUCCGAAUCUAGUUACUUUUGUAUUGUUCUCUCUCAUACUCACCUAAACAUUUCAAAAGAGUGUUCUAAACUUUAUGUCUCUACUUCCUCACCUUUAGUCAUUUUUUUGUUUUACCAAUAGCAUCUUAAUUAUUCUAUCAAAAUGUUAAAAGGAUCCAAAUCUGUUGAAAUUAUUCUAGUAAAGUCACCAAUGAUUUUUUUUAUUGCCAAAUCCAAUGAACAGUUUUAGUCUUUAUUUUUUUAGUCAUUGUUGCUGAUAAUUCUUUUCUUGAUCCUCUAUUCUCUUGACUUCCAUUAUGCCAAAUUAUUCUGAUUCCUUAAAGAUUGCUUUGG